UGAACCCCGGACAUUAAUGAUAGGUCUUGGUUAGACUGGACAGAGACCAUCUAGUCCAAACUUCUCUUGAUCGGAAGAAGAAUACAGGGAGAAAUCUGGCAAGGAAGAAUUACUCACAUUCCCAGAGACUUUAACAAUUUCAACAAACCAAACCAAGUAUUUUACCCUUAACUAAACAAAGCCAGUUAAGAGAGGGGAUCCAAGAGCCCUGAGCAGGAGGGAACCAUUUUGCGGGAUUCGUCGCAACCAUUUUCCCAGCUUCCGAAACCACCUUUAAAAUGCCAGCGUUCCGCCCAGAAGAAAGAGCUCAUCCAGGAACAGGUUCUAGUGAGCGCUCCGGUUGCAAAGCCUUGGCAGAGGGCAAUGGAUGGAACAGUGCUGGCAGCCCCCCCGUGAUCAGGGGUUGGCGAGGUCUGCUGGGAAAGAGACCAGAACCAGAAGAGAAGUUUGCUAGGCCAGUGGUGGCAUGGUAAAAAAAAAAAAAAAAAACAGGUGGGGAGCGACCUUGCUGGUUCUCACCGGAACAGGUCCUGACGGGAAGACUGCUGUGGGCUGAUAAUCAGUGAUUUCUAGGAACCUAACUGCUAACGCUCCACCCUCUCGACUAGUCCUGACUGCCUCCGAAAGCUGUGUGAUCCUUGUUCUCUUUGGGUCUGCAAAAUGAUGAUGUUGGAUUACAGACAGGAGUUCUUAACCUGGGGCCACCAAAGAGGUCACUGGAUAGUUUUCAGAUCUGUGAAU